rnacentral:rRNA from 1 species
GUGACCUAGGAUCAGGUACGGAUCAUUAUUUU